UACGUAGGGUGCGAGCGUUGUCCGGAUUUAUUGGGCGUAAAGAGCUCGUAGGCGGUUUGUCGCGUCUGCUGUGAAAACCUAAGGCUCAACCUUGGGCUUGCAGUGGGUACGGGCAGACUAGAGUGCGGUAGGGGAGACUGGAAUUCCUGGUGUAGCGGUGAAAUGCGCAGAUAUCAGGAGGAACACCGGUGGCGAAGGCGGGUCUCUGGGCCGUAACUGACGCUGAGGAGCGAAAGCAUGGGGAGCGAACAGG
rnacentral:rRNA from 1 species